GCAAACUUGGUCAUUUAGAGGAAGUAAAAGUCGUAACAAGGUUUCCGUAGGUGAACCUGCGGAAGGAUCAUUAUCGAAUUAAAAUUGAGGAUCUGUUGCUGGUUUCUUUGAAACAUGUGCACGUCCUUUUUUUUUUUUUUUUCUUUCAAACACCUGUGCACCGCCGGUAGACCUUGUCUUCUUUCAAAGCAAAAUGGUCUUUCAAACUUGUUUCAAGUUUGGUUGAGAGAAACUCAGCGGUACUUGUUGCUGCUCUUCUUUUUUGACGCUUGCUUUUGAAAUGGCUGGGUUCUACUGUAUCUAUCACACACGCUAUUGAGAAUGAUGAUAAAACUUUAUAAAAUUGAACAACUUUCAACAACGGAUCUCUUGGCUCUCGCAUCGAUGAAGAACGCAGC
rnacentral:misc_RNA from 1 species